AUGUUAUAUCGCGGUAGAGACAGAGGCGCGGUUGGUCGCAGAUCUGAUGCCGGAAUCUCGCAGUGGCUGAAGUUGUUCGGAAGUUACUGGUAUCGAAUGUCUCUAUUUCGACCUUCUCCUUCUUCCAUUCUUCCUGUAAAACAAAUAAACACGAGCAGAUGGAGGUUGUGUGCAGAUUCUGGCAGUCUAGCCUUGCGAGACAACGGAAAGAAAGUGACGGCGUCAUAUGGACUCAUGGCAUGGACAUCGAUCGGAGAAACACGGAGAUUCGACGGGGAGUAUGGCUGUGAAUGGAGGUUGUGGAGUCUGUUUGUCUUUUUUCCUGGAUUUUCUUGGUUUUGA